rnacentral:lncRNA from 1 species
GCAUGGGAAGACUGAAAAUGUGCUUACAGUCCUACUUCAUGUUUGGCUCUUCAUUUUAACAUUCAGCAGUGCAAGUUUGAAGGAGUGACCCUUCACUGCAUGGAAAGAAUCUUGGGAGGGCUUGGACCUUAUAGUUUGAACGCCUUGCUGCUGUCCUUCCUUCCUGCUUGGGUGUGGUAGCAGAGCUGGGGCUGGCUUUGGCAGUGGCCACAUGACUCUAAGUGGUAUGAGAGAGGAAAAGCGAAGCAAGAACACAUCCAAAGCCCAUGCAGAAAAAAAAUAAAAACCUGUGCGUACAGAAAUGAACAUCUGUCUAGAAUAACCAUGCAGCAAGCAGUUGUGACGUGA